rnacentral:lncRNA from 1 species
UUCACUGUCACAGAAUGUGGCCCAAGAAAACCCUAAAAAGGUCUUUAAAAUUUAAACUUUAAAAAUAAUGUAAAAAUUACAUAUCAUCCAUAUUUGCUAUUUCACCAUAAAAAAAAUUAAUUCUUGUCAAUUCAAACUGAAAAAUAAGACACAUUAGGUUUUACCCUUUUGCUUCAAAUUCUCCCCAUCCCUCCUAGAGUAUGAAUCUUCCAAUUUAAGAACAACCAUUGUAGGAAUAGAAAGUGAUUGGGACAUGAAGGUCAGUCAGAGUUUGGUUGUACAAGGUUCUAAACAGCAAGCUAAAAACUUUAGAGCAAUUUGUUAUUCAAGUGUUUUGAACAGAAGAAUUAAAUGACAAAAGCAAUGUCUUGGAAAUAUUAAGCCAAAAGCUUAAUAUUUUAAGGAUGAUUUUGCAGGGAAAAAGACCAGAAGUAGGCAAACUGGGUUGUGUGCUAAGCCAUACAGUGCCAUAGGGACUUCAACCUCAAGCAUGGCAAUAGAGGCAGGGAUGUGGCUCAGUGGUAGAGUGCUUGCCAAGCAUGCUCAAGGCUACAGAUUCCAUCCAGCAAUGCAAAAUAAAAGUGACAUCAGGAAUAGAGAGAAUCAAGGCAAUUAAUACUAGGCUGUAAACCUGGAUUGAUACUUCUAUCCUCCCCUCACUCCUACCUCAGAAGUUUUUUUAGUAAGAGAGUCAUAUUCCUAACAUUAGACCCUGGGCUUCAUCUCAAAUAUAAAAUCAGAAGUUAGCCCUAUGGGGAUCACCAGUGAAUUUCUUACUUAACAGUCUCAAAUGAUGACAUUUGUUGAAUUAAAUCAAAGACCUGCUUAACAAACUCCUCUCAAACUCAAGACUUGGAAGAAAAAGUAUUCUACUAGUGUAGAAAUCUGCUUUCUAUAGAUCCACAGAGCUAUUUAAACCCACAAUGUCUUUGCAUUUACUACUAGUAAUCUCAAAGCUAAAUAGUGUGCAGUUUAAAAAAACUAUUGAUUGGCCAGCAUUUUUUCUUACUAAUGUAAAGUACAUGCUGCAGUAAAAUCACAGCUAUCAGGAUUCAGAUCCCCACUCUACUAUUAAAUCAGCUGAGUGACUUUAAGCACUCUGAGAGUCUCUCUUAUAAAAUUAAUAGGACUUACCUUAAAGGAUUCUUGUGAGAUCAAAUGAGAAAUCCAGGCUGGGGGUGUGGCUCAGGGGUAGAGUGCUCGCCUAGCACAUACGAGGCCCUGGGUUUGAUCCUUAGCACCACAUAAAAAUAAAUAGAUAAUAAAGGGAUUAUGUCCAACUAAAAAAUAAUAUUGAAAAAUGAGAAAUCCCAUAAAGUGCUUAACACAUUGCAUGCCCCAUUAUAAAAGCUCAAUAACGUUAGUUAUGGCUAAUAUUCAUGAACUGGAUUUUGUUUUAGCCUCCCUGUGCUUUUUUUUAUGUUUUCUUAGGUCUUUUGAAUACAGCUAUAAUAUAAAUCUAACAAUAAAUGAAUAAAAGAUAAUAAUAAUAAAUAAAGGGGCUGGGAAUGUGGCUCAAGUGGUAGCGUGCUCGCCUGGCAUGCGUGCGGCCCGAGUUCGAUCCUCAGCACCACAUACAAAACAAAGAUGUUGUAUCC